UCGAGAAUUUUUCACAAUGGGCGAAAGCCUGAUGGAGCGACGCCGCGUGGGGGAUGAAUGGCUUCGGCCCGUAAACCCCUGUCAUUCGCGAGCAAACGUUAUUAUUUAAAAGAUGAUAGCCUGAUAGUAGCGAAAGAGGAAGGGACGGCUAACUCUGUGCCAGCAGCCGCGGUAAUACAGAGGUCCCAAGCGUUGUUCGGAUUUACUGGGCGUAAAGGGUGCGUAGGUGGUGGGGUAAGUCGGAUGUGAAAUCUCCGAGCUCAACUCGGAAAGUGCAUUGGAAACUACCCUGCUCGAGGGUUGGAGGGGGGACUGGAAUACUUGGUGUAGCAGCGAAAUGCGUAGAUAUCAAGUGGAACACCAGUGGCGAAGGCGAGUCCCUGGACAACUCCUGACACUGAGGCACGAAAGCUAGGGGAGCAACCA
rnacentral:rRNA from 1 species